rnacentral:lncRNA from 1 species
CUCUGUUUGCCAAAUAAAUCCUUACGGUUAAGUUUAACCCCAAAUAUCUAUGGUGGACCAACCUUAAGAGUGGUCCACCAUAGAUCGUAUUAAAUUGUUAAUUUAAAUCGUUUGAUCUAUUUUUUAAAAAGAUAACCAUAGGAUUAUGCAUGUCUAUUGUAACUUACAGUGUACCAACAACUAUCAACAACACAUAAUUUAAUCACCAAAAUUAGGGUUCUUAUUAUUUCUUCUUUCUUCCUUCCACCUCUCCUCUUUCUUUCCUCUCCUUCAACCUUCAAAAUCGAAUUUGAAUUUGAAUUCAUAAGUUUUAUAUUCAACUCAGCAAAUUAAACACAUUGAACAAGAAAAAAACCCAGCAACACCUUGAACAAGAAAAGAUCUAGCAACGUACAAAAAUUCAAUGAAUCACUAAGAACAAAACAUGAGAACCCAGCAACAUCUUCAAGAUUUUCACGAUUUGUGGUUCGAACAACACAUAAACCCAGCAACACUUUGUGGUUCGAACAGAACCGGCCAUCUUCCGACAGUACCCUUUCUUCCAGUUUGAACAGAGCCGAUCAUCUUCAUCAACUUUUCACGAUUCUUCCGAUGGAAUGAGGGUAAAAGAAGAAAUCAAAAUUGGAGGUUUGGAAAAAAGGUUGUGUUGCUAUGGAAAGAAGAUUGUUUAGAUAAGAAGAUUGUGUUGCUGUGUUGAGGAAAAACAGAAAAAGAAGAAAAAGAAAGAAAGAGGAAAACGAAGAAGAAAGAAGAAGGAAGAAUGGAAAGGAGAGGGAAUGAGAGAACUAAAAAGGGUUUUGUUUUAAUUUAUUUUUCUGCCCCCUUUUUGUGAUGAGAAUUUUUUUUAUGGAUUUUUGUUGUUGUUGUUGUUGUUAUGAAUGAGAAGGAGGAAAUAAUUUUUUGGAUUUUUAUUUAUUUUUUAUGGUUUUUUUUUUUGGGUAAGUUUCAAGAUUUUUAUUAAGAAAUGAAUUUGAUUCAUUAAGAUGAUGAAGAGGAUGAAGAAAGAAAGAGUUGUUGUUUAUACACUGUAAGUUACAAUAGACACGCAUAAUCCAAUGGUCAUCUUUUUAAAAAACUGAUCAAAGGGUUUAAAUUAAAAAAAUUUAAUAAGGUCUAUGGUGGACCACUUUUAAGGUUGGUCCAUCAUAUACAUCAUUUGGGG